UACGGAGGAUCCGAGCGUUAUCCGGAUUUAUUGGGUUUAAAGGGAGCGUAGGCGGGUUGUUAAGUCAGUUGUGAAAGUUUGCGGCUCAACCGUAAAAUUGCAGUUGAUACUGGCAUCCUUGAGUACAGUAGAGGUAGGCGGAAUUCGUGGUGUAGCGGUGAAAUGCUUAGAUAUCACGAAGAACUCCGAUUGCGAAGGCAGCCUGCUGGACUGUAACUGACGCCGAUGCUCGAAAGUGUGGGUAUCAAACAGG
rnacentral:rRNA from 1 species